UGUCUAUGAAUUGUAGACCAGCAUGAAAGGCAAAAUGAGGGUCUAUCUGUCUCUUACAAUAAAUCAAUUAAACUGAUCUCCCAGUAAAAAAGCUGGAAUCUACACAUAAGACCAGAAGACCCUGUGAAACUUAAACUAAACUAUUAAACCCUAUAAUACUUACUUUCGGUUGGGGCGACCUUGGAAAAAAAAAGAACUUCCAAAUAUACAACCACACCAUCACAAACAGGCCCACAAGCCUAACAAUGACCCAGUACAACUGAUAAUUGAACCAAGCUACUCCAGGGAUAACAGCGCCAUCUUCUUCAAGAGUCCAUAUCAAAAAGAAGGUUUACGACCUCGAUGUUGGAUCAGGACAUCCUAAUGGUGCA
rnacentral:rRNA from 1 species